UUUGCACGACAAACUAUUGAUCGGAAAAGAUAAUUUUAGAUAAACGUUGAUAAAAUAUGGCGAUUUUUAAGCACUCGCUUUGACAAUGUGUGUUUAGUCUUAGUUCUACGGUGAACGACAUUGGAUACAAGUUUAUUUUUCGGUGUUAUUACAAAAUUACGAAAUGUGUUGCGGGUGCGUUUGUUCUCUUCUUUGCAAGAUCAUCAGUGCGAUAAUCUCAGUGUUAUUCUUUAUUGCGAUCGUGCUCCUCGUGCUGUGGCUGGUCGGAGUUAUUUUUGUGACAUAGCGACAUCGAUUGGAGACUGCAAUGAGUCAUUGAAAUAAUUAGAAUAAGAUAUCAUGUCAAUUAAAUUUAAUAUGUAAAUAAUAGUAAUGCACAAAGAUUAUUUUUGAUAGUUUAGCUGUCAUCAAUAACAUAAUAAAUUAUGAACAUUAAUCUGUGAUGAGACUAUAGAAUGUUAAGACAAAGUAUGAUGGUAACAAUUUAUAAUAUAGCUUUACCAGUCAAAUUGAAUCCCUCAAGUUAAAAAAAAAAAACUCGAGGUGCAUGUCUCUCUUACUGGCUUAUUGAAUUGAAAAUCGAUUAUGAAUAGUGUUUUA